CCUACGGGAGGCUGCAGUGGGGAAUAUUGGGCAAUGGGCGCAAGCCUGACCCAGCAACGCCGCGUGAAGGAAGAAGGUUUCCGGGUUGUAAACUUCUUUUAUUAGGGACGAAGCAAGUGACGGUACCUGAUGAAUAAGCCACGGCUAACUACGUGCCAGUAGCCGCGGUAAUACGUAGGUGGCAAGCGUUAUGCGGAUUUACUGGGUGUAAAGGGCGUGUAGGCGGGAGUGCAAGUCAGGUGUGAAAACUAUGGGCUGAACCCAUAGCCUGCAUUUGAAACUGGCCUUCUUGAGUGCUGGAGAGGCAAUCGGAAUUCCGUGUGUAGCGGUGAAAUGCGUAGAUAUACGGAAGAACACCAGUGGCGAAGGCGGAUUGCUGGACAGUAACUGACGCUGAGGCGCGAAAGCGUGGGGAGCAAACAGGAUUAGAUACCCGGGUAGUC
rnacentral:rRNA from 1 species